UCAGUGUCAACCAUUUUCUUCAGCCUUCCUUCACCGUUUGAAUUCUCGAAAUAUCAUCAAGGUUGUCUGUAUUAUAUUGGAGUUUAGUUUCAGAAGAAGAUCAAAUCAUUAUCCUUCUGCCGAUCAUCGAUUCAUAUUAAAGGUUGGCAUGGCGCAAUUUGAUUCCAAGGUCAUUUUGGUGAACCUUUUCUUUUCCUAUCUAAUUUGAUU